rnacentral:rRNA from 1 species
UACGGGGGGGGCAAGCGUUGUUCGGAAUUACUGGGCGUAAAGGGCUCGUAGGCGGCCAACUCAGUCGGACGUGAAAUCCCUCGGCUUAACCGGGGAACUGCUUCCGAUACUGGAUGGCUUGAGUGUGGGAGAGGGAUGCGGAAUUCCAGGUGUAGCGGUGAAAUGCGUAGAUAUCUGGAGGAACACCGGUGGCGAAGGCGGCAUCCUGGACUACUACUGACGCUGAGGAGCGAAAGCCAGGGGAGCAAACGGGG